UACGUAGGUGGCAAGCGUUGUUCGGAAUUAUUGGGCGUAAAGGGCGCGUAGGCGGUUCGUUAAGUCGGUUGUGAAAGCCCGGAGCUCAACUCCGGAGAGUCGACCGAUACUGGCGAGCUAGAGUACGGAAGAGGUAGCUGGAAUUCCUGGUGUAGCGGUGAAAUGCGCAGAUAUCAGGAGGAACACCGAUGGCGAAGGCAGGUCUCUGGGCAUUAACUGACGCUGAGGAGCGAAAGCAUGGGGAGCGAACGGG
rnacentral:rRNA from 1 species